rnacentral:rRNA from 1 species
UACGUAGGGUGCAAGCGUUAAUCGGAAUUACUGGGCGUAAAGCGUACGCAGGCGGCUAUGUAAGACAGGUGUGAAAUCCCCGGGCUUAACCUGGGAACUGCGCUUGUAACUAGCAGGCUAGAGUGUGGCAGAGGGGGGGUGGAAUUCCACGUGUAGCAGUGAAAUGCGUAGAGAAUGUGGAGGAACACCGAUGGCGAAGGCAGCCCCCUGGGCUAACCACU